rnacentral:rRNA from 1 species
UGCCACAGCCAUAUCACCCUGCAAGCCCAAGGUUAUCCACUGAAGUUAAGCAGAGCUGAGCCUGGUCAGUACCUGGAUGGGAGACUACAAUGGAACUAGGUUGCUGUUGGAG